UAUUGUGCGAUUUGGGCUCCCUUUUCAAGCAGGUACUGUUGGUCAUGGUAGAGCAUGUUUAAUCACUGCCAUUUGAAUUUUAAUACUUCUUUAUUUCAUUUUAUCAGAGUCAUUUCUAGAAGGUUGUGUCUACUCUUCACGGAGGACACAGGCUUCUGCAUGGAGUUCUAACAUUUGUGAUCACCUCAUUGUGACCUGAGCUGCUGGGCUGCAUUGCAACGGAACAUUCACCUUUUUGCCCUCAUGUGUCAAUGAGCUGUGGACAGUUGAGCAUAUUGAAAAGUAGGCUUAUAUUUUCUAGCUAUGUUUGAGUGGACUACGCUAUGUUGUUUAAUGAGGCUGGCAACUAACAUGCUUGUUCUCUCCUGAAAAGGGACCAGGCCAGCCACUGUUUUCCUCUAAUUAGUAUGCAUUUCUUUAUUGUGUUUGUUUGUUUGGUUGGUUAUCUGACUUUGCCUCUGGGCCUACUACCCAUGUGCCCCGUUCAUAGUAGCAUUGUACAUUAACAAGUGGUGCUAUUGAUGCUGGUGGUUCUCCUCCCCAACUAUGUCCUCUGCUUAGGCUAUCCCUGUACAAGGCCGGAUCCACACUGAUGCUUUGCCCCUUUUUGCCAAGGGAGCACAUUGGGAGACACGGUCUUGGUGUGUACUAUAACUACAACACGGUGGGAUAUUUUGUAGUGGUAUCUGAAGAUCUUGAGUGUGUAGUGCUUGCUGUGUUGCAUGCUUCGUCUGGUGUUGGGUUGCUGUCCUGUUUUUUUCCUCCUGAGCAGGGGUUUUGCAUUGGCUGAUCCGACCUUCCUAGACUGAGGAAAAUCCACCAGUUUAUAGCAGUAUUUUGUAAUACAUUUGAAAUGCAUUUAUAUAUCUGCCUCUUGUCCACUGUUCCUUUGCAGGGAACAUAUAGAAUUAGCCACACUACAUUCAGGGAAAGAUCUGUGGGUCCUCCUGCCCAUCAUCAGGGGGUGGCGUAGUCAGACCGUAAAGAAGGUAUACCGCUUGACAGAGGCAGAGGAAAA